UACGUAGGGGGCGAGCGUUGUCCGGAUUUAUUGGGCGUAAAGAGCGUGUAGGCGGCCAGGUAGGUCUGCUGUGAAAACUCGAGGCUCAACCUCGAGACGUCGGCGGAAACCAUCUGGCUAGAGUCCGGGAGAGGAGAGUGGAAUUCCUGGUGUAGCGGUGAAAUGCGCAGAUAUCAGGAAGAACACCCGUGGCGAAGCGGCUCUCUGGGAACGGUACUGACGCUGAGACGCGAAAGCGUGGGGAGC
rnacentral:rRNA from 1 species